AUAAUAAUAAGAGUUGUAAAUAAAGGGGGGGGGGGGCGGUGCUUGAAGCCUGUAAGUGACUCUGACAGAUAUGGUGUGUGUGUGUGUGAAGGUCCCAAAACACAAGUGACAGCAGCAACCAAGGCUUUUGUUGGAGUGAGAGUGCUAGCAAUAAUUAAAUCACUGCCUCAUUACGUGCGGACCAAUUUAGCCCCUUCUGAUGCAUUUGGCAGGUACUUGGCGUAAUGAAUCCACCUGAAACAGCACCUGAGACCGAAGUAAUUCAUAAUGAAGCUCUAUACUGAGAUUACAGGGGAAGGAAGGAUGGUGAGGCAGCCUGCAAUGGGGGAGGAACCAGCAGCACGCUCACCAAAUGGCAGCCCAUGAAGGUUUUACCUCCCUGCAUUUGAGGAGUUAUACAGCCACGAUUAAAUACUACUCCCAUCCCUUCAUA